UUAAUAAAGAGGGUAAAACAAGAUAUAAAAGCUGUGAGUAAAUGUAAUUUAGAAUAAAUUGAGAGAUAAAGCAGGCACAGGAAGUUUGGUUUUGGUGUGAACUUUGUUUCAGUUGUGCCAUGUGUGUGUUCCGAGUUUUGGUUAACUUUUUCUUUCUUUGAUAGGCGAGGGUUUUGGAAUUAUUCAAUGUAUAUUGUGUGUUUAGUCAAAUUGAAUUGCUGAUAUAUGCAGAGUGUGCUAUCCUGCAAUACCAAAUGGAAGCCCUGUCAUCAGUGGGAUCUGCAAUAGAAAACUGUUUAAUUUAAUUUUAAGCUGCGCAGGUUUAGCUUUUGAAUGCAUUAUUUUAGCUAUCAAAUUUAAUUUUGUUAAGAAAAUUGCUUACCCUGUCUCUGUUUCUGUUGCUGUUCUCAUUUACUUCAGAUUAUAAUUAAAAUUGCUGCCGAGAAUGGUGUUCGAAAAAUUUUGAUUGGACAACUGAUUUGAGGUUCCAGAACCAUGCUGUCCUUGCUUUCCACAAAGCUGUUGAAGCCUACUUGGUUGGUUUGUUUGAGGACACCAACUUGUGUGCCAUCCAUGCCAAGAGGUCACCAUAAUGCCCAAAGAUAUUCAGCUUGCUCGCCGCAUCCGUGGUGAACAUGCUUAGGCUGAUUGAUUUCAUGCUUCUUGAUCGCUUCGGAAUACACCUUGUGUUACUAGUUUAGUAUUGUUCAAGUUUCCUAUGCCAUUGUAUAGUUCUUGACAACCUUUUAGGUUUCAAUUGAUGUCUUUAGAAUGAUUAUUUUGGUUAUGGUACAGUAGAACAUAGAAAGAUACUACAAAUGGAAUGAUUUGAUUACUGGUGUAAGACAGUUUAUUUUGGAUUUAGCUCUUAAUAAUUAAUAUUAACUUUGAUACAA